rnacentral:rRNA from 1 species
GUGAGGAAUAUUGCGCAAUGGAGGCAACUCUGACGCAGCCAUGCCGCGUGCAGGAAGAAGGCGCUACGCGUUGUAAACUGCUUUUAACCGGGAAGAAACCCCAGGACGUGUCCUGGGUUGACGGUACCGGAGGAAUAAGCACCGGCUAACUUCGUGCCAGCAGCCGCGGUAAUACGAAGGGUGCAAGCGUUAUCCGGAUUCAUUGGGUUUAAAGGGUGCGUAGGCGGAGCGUUAAGUCAGUGGUGAAAUCCUGCAGCUUAACUGUAGACUUGCCAUUGAUACUGGCGCUCUUGAGUGCGCUUGAAGUGGGCGGAAUGUGCCGUGUAGCGGUGAAAUGCUUAGAUAUGGCACAGAACACCAAUUGCGAAGGCAGCUCACUAAGGCGAUACUGACGCUGAGGCACGAAGGCGUGGGGAUCGAACAGGAUUAGAAACCCCAGUAGUCC